AGCUUUGUGCAGUGGCAGUAUCGUAGCCAAUGAGGUUUAUCCGAGGCGCGAUUAUUGCUAAUAGAAUUCAUGUGUUAAAUCUUAACCCCCAAGGAGCUGGUAUUAGGAAGUGGGAUGUUUGGGGGAUGAUUAGGUCAU
rfam:Canis lupus familiaris chromosome 20, whole genome shotgun sequence.